rnacentral:rRNA from 1 species
UCUGAAUAUGGGGGGACCAUCCUCCAAGGCUAAAUACUCCUGACUGACCGAUAGUGAACCAGUACCGUGAGGGAAAGGCGAAAAGAACCCCGGCGAGGGGAGUGAAAAAGAACCUGAAACCGUGUACGUACAAGCAGUGGGAGCACCUUCGGGUGUGACUGCGUACCUUUUGUAUAAUGGGUCAGCGACUUAUAUUCUGUAGCAAGGUUAACCGUAUAGGGGAGCCGCAGGGAAACCGAGUCUUAACUGGGCGUUAAGUUGCAGGGUAUAGACCCGAAACCCGGUGAUCUAGCCAUGGGCAGGUUGAAGGUUGGGUAACACUAACUGGAGGACCGAACCGACUAAUGUUGAAAAAUUAGCGGAUGACUUGUGGCUGGGGGUGAAAGGCCAAUCAAACCGGGAGAUAGCUGGUUCUCCCCGAAAGCUAUUUAGGUAGCGCCUCGUGAAUUCAUCUUCGGGGGUAGAGCACUGUUUCGGCUAGGGGGUCAUCCCGACUUACCAACCCGAUGCAAACUACGAAUACCGAAGAAUGUUAUCACGGGAGACACACGGCGGGUGCUAACGUCCGUCGUGAAGAGGGAAACAACCCAGACCGCCAGCUAAGGUCCCAAAGUCAUGGUUAAGUGGGAAACGAUGUGGGAAGGCACAGACAGCCAGGAUGUUGGCUUAGAAGCAGCCAUCAUUUAAAGAAAGCGUAAUAGCUCACUGGUCGAGUCGGCCUGCGCGGAAGAUGUAACGGGGCUAAACCAUGCACCGAAGCUGCGGCAGCGACACGAUGUGUUGUUGGGUAGGGGAGCGUUCUGUAAGCCUGCGAAGGUGUGCUGUGAGGCAUGCUGGAGGUAUCAGAAGUGCGAAUGCUGACAUAAGUAACGAUAAAGCGGGUGAAAAGCCCGCUCGCCGGAAGACCAAGGGUUCCUGUCCAACGUUAAUCGGGGCAGGGUGAGUCGACCCCUAAGGCGAGGCCGAAAGGCGUAGUCGAUGGGAAACAGGUUAAUAUUCCUGUACUUGGUGUUACUGCGAAGGGGGGACGGAGAAGGCUAUGUUAGCCGGGCGACGGUUGUCCCG